rnacentral:misc_RNA from 1 species
CGAGAAUCACAUAAAAAUUUUUUUGAAGCCUGUAUACUAAAGCAAUUCAAACUUAUAUAAUAAAAAGGCUUUCACAUUCCAUUCAGAAACGUAAGUAAAAAUUAACGGGAUAAAUAAUAUCAUAAAACACAGCAAAAAGCUUGAUCUCCCAAGCUCACAACAAGCUGCUGCAACACAACAACAAUCCAAAUUUGUUCAGAAAAUUUUGUGAAUACAACUCUAUAAAAGACAACAUAAAUCGAUGAAAACGGACUCAUUAAUCUUUGCGGUAUGCCUAUUCAAAAAAAAAAACUUCUCAAUUCAUUGAACCGUUGUAGUUGUAAGUAAAAAGCAUGUCAAAAGAUCAUUCUAUACGUAAGGAAUAUGGUUGAAAUGAAUGCAACGCACUGUGUCGCAUGAAACGGGUUCAGAUGAUUUGAGGGCCCUGAUAUACAAUGUGCUUUCUUCCUGAAAUCUUUGGAUUUGAAAACAUCCCAAAGUUAAGUCGGACUCGGAAUUUUCUAAGUAAGCAGAUGUUGAAUUGACAACUUUCUCAAUAUCCGUUGAUUGCAAAGUUGGAAUGCAUUUACUGCCUACUACAUCCAUACAUAAAGAAAUAUCUUCAAAUUCGUACGCAACAUUCUGCAUGCACAACUUUUCACCACUAAUAAAAGUCACUAAAUAUAAUU